rnacentral:lncRNA from 1 species
UUUUUGUUUUCUUUUUGGUUUCCUUUGCUGUACAAAAGCUUUUCAGUUUGAUGAGGUCCCAUUGGUUUAUUUUUGCUCUUAUUUCUGUUGCUUUGGGAGACUGACCUGAGAAAAAUAUUCAUAAGGUUGAUGUCAGAGAAUGUUUUGCCUAUGUUCUCUUCCAGGAGUUUGAUGGUAUCUUGUCUGAUGUUUAAGUCUUUCAACCAUUUUGAGUUUAUUUUUGUGCAUGGUGUGAGGGUGUGUUCUAGUUUCAUUGAUUUACAUGCAGCUCUCCAGGUUUCCCAGCAAUUCUUGCUGGAAAGACUGUCUUUUUCUCAUUUUAUGUUCUUGACUCCUUUGUCAAAGAUUAAUUGACCAUAGGUAUCUGGGUUUCUUUCUGGGUUCUCUAUUCUGUUCCACUCGUUGGUCGGUCUGUUUUGGUACCAUAUCACAUUGUCUUGAUGACUGUGGCUUUGUAAUAUGGCCUGAAGUGUGGGAGAGAGUUAUGCCUCCUGCUUAGUUUUUGUUCCUCAGGAUUGGUUUGGCGAUUCUGGGUCUUUUGUGGUUCCAUAUACAUUUUUGGAUUGUUUGUUCUAGUUCUGUGAAAAAUGUCAUGGGUAAUUUGAUAGGGAUUGCAUUGAAUCUGUAGAUUGAUUUGGGCAGGAUGGCCAUUUUUACAGUAUUAAUUUUUCCAAUCCAGGAGCAUGGAAUAUCUUUCCAUUUUUUACAUCUUCCUUAGUUUCCUUGAUUAAUGUUUUAUAGUUCCCCAGCCAUGUAAGUCUUUCACCUCCCUGGUCAGGUGUAUUCCCAGGUAUUUGAUUUUUUGGGGUAUAAUUUUAAAAGGUAUUAUUUUUCUCUAUUCAUUUUCUAAUAUUUCAUUGUUGGUGUACAGAAAUGUGACUGAUUUCUGAAUGUUAAUUUUAGAUCCUGCUAGUUUUCUGAAUUUGUUGUUCAAGUUGUUUUUGGGUUGAGUCCUUAGAGUUUUAUAUAUAUAGUAUCAUGUCAUCUGCAUGACAUUGUUACCUCUUCUCUUCCUAUUUGGAUGUCUUUUAUUUCUUUUAUUUGUCUAAAUGCAUGGCAUGAUGAACACCAAUUUCAGGAUGGUAGCUACCUCUAGGGGAAAGGAAAGAUGAUCAGGAAACGGGACAUAGAUUAAGGAAAUUAACUGCUGUGACAAUACAGGCAUCCCCUAUUGUUCAAAAGUUCACUUUAUGCCACUUUACUUUUCUGAAAUCCUGCAUUAGCACCCAUUUUCAGUUAUCAAAAUAAGUAUGAAGACUUUUGCUUUUACCAAAAAAGGCAAAAACGAUAGUGUUUAGCAUUUGUUUUGUGGCAAGCUGCUAUAGAGGCAGCAUGGCACCUUACCCAGCAAUAGUGGCACCACCAAGUUCCUUCCCCAAGAACCAUAUUGAGUAUCUCAUCAUCAGUCCUCCACAGCUUCAAACUGUGUCUGUGAGCACCUGUGCUUUAUCUCCAUUUAUUUUGUACAUCUGUGAGCAGGAUGUGACCUAUAUAGUAACUGCUUCUUUGCUUUAUGCUAUAUUAGCUUAUGAAAGUUUUCAUUGGAACCUAUGGUUUAGACAGUUGGGAAACCUGUAUUUUAUUACCUAUGCUGGGUGAUGACAUGUGUGCUUGAGUAUGCCCUAAGUGUUGCAUAAUAAAUUGUUUAAAAUUUUAGUAAGUGUUUUCAAGUGAUAUCCUUCAAAUUACACAUGCUAAUCAUUAUAGUGCUAAUCAUUAUAGGAGUCAAACUAUGUGACUCCUCAUUAAUAAAAUUCUCAUAAAUGAGCUAUAUAAACACUUGUAAACUAAAUAAAAUCACAGAAAUUUAAAAUAUGACAGAAAUAUGAAAGAUCACUAUAAUUUUUCUUACUCCAUAUAUUUGAGAUAUUUUCCAAAAGAUGCUCUUAUCAGAGAUAUUUUCCAAAAGGUGCUCUUAUCAAAGCAUUGUUGCAACGAUCCCUUUCUAUAUCCUAUUCAUACUUUAGAGGAAUUUUCUACAUGACUUGCAACUUUAGUGGUGCAUGUAGGCCAAUCUUCUAUUAAUUACACAAAGAAAAUAAGAUUUAAAAUAAUAAGUUUUCUUGUAAAAAGGCUAAUUUUUAAAAAAUCUCAAAAGGUGUGGUUUUAUAUUUGCAUCACUAAAGUUUUGAAAAAUCAAAUCUAAAGAAAAAGCAGCAACAUGAAAAAUGAAGCAUAUAAUAAAAUUCAGAAACACUCUAGUUCUUGGAGAAUUUUUAAAAAGUUAAAUCAUUAUCCAAGUGGUGUUAUCACUUAAUUCACCCACUAAAACUUCUCACAUUUUCAUUUCCAUUGUGACUCAGUACUGAGUAUCACUCUCUAUGUUUCAGUAAGAAACUAUAGGUUAGAAAAAAAGUCUAUGAUUUGAAAGCAUGAAAGAAUUAAAGAAGUUAAACAGUGGCAAAUUAAAUUGUCUAAGGAACCCAUUUAUCACUUAUUUUGCUUAAUUGAAAAUGCUGAAUAGCAGUUCUUUAAAAAUAUGAUUCUAUAGAAAAGUCAGAUUUUCUCAAGUGAAUUUUAGCUAUUAUAUCUACAUCUACAGAUACGUGAACAAAUACCUCCCUGAAAGAUGUGCAGUUCAUCUUUGUAUGUGUAGCUUCACACUGUUGAACCAGGAUCCACUAGACCAUCAUUUAUCCCUCUUACACGAAAUGGGAGAAACAUUAUAUGCAAUACCUUCAUACCAAGAACAUCUGUCCUCAAGGUUAAUGUAAACACAAUAUAUAUGUUGAAAGCCCCAAAUUAAGUAAUUUCAGCAGAUUAGCAGACCAUAACCAAUAAGCUAUUUGUGUUCCUUAUUUUAUUAAACAUAUAAUUUUAAAAUUAAAAAACAAAUAUGUAAAUUUUUGAUCUUUUAAAAUUAGAAAACUGAUUUUCUUUUACCAUCGAGACUAGGACUGUCAACCCUUUAUAUGAAAAUGCCCAGAAACAAACAAGUAAUAUAAAUGAGUCAAGUAGGUGACAUUUAAUAUGGAGUGAUGGGACUAGGGCAAGGUGGAAACACUUUUUAAAUCCUCAUUUGGGUUAUAAGGAAAAUUGUGAAAGUCUGUGAAAUGGGCAAAAAGUAUACAGGGUGUGCUGUCAAGAAUACUCAUCUGGGUUUUAUCUGCCUUUCAUUUUCUUUGACUUAUUCAACAAUUCUAAGUUGUAGAGAACUGAUUACAAGGCAAAUGAUCCCUAUCCAUAGAAAUGUAAAUAAAUGGUGACUUGAGGAGAUGUAACUGCUUAUUGCCCUGUGGAUAAUAAGCAGUUUUGCAUCUAUGUCUAAAUUCAUUUCAGAAUUCAUAAUUGGCUUUGUCUGGGUUUUAUUUUAUUUUGUUGAUUUCCUUUUUAACUAGUUGUAACACCUUACUAAUUUUCUCCUUAAUUAAUGAACUAAAUGAACUAAAUGAAACCUUUGAUUCAUGUUCUUUUAACAUUCAUGAGAGUCAUAAUAUUUUUUAAAUUAUUUCUAAUUGAAUCUAUAUACUAAUGGAAAAAUCAGUCUUAGCCAGAGAAAUUAAGCAAGAAAAAGAAAUAAAAGUUAUCCAAAAUGGAAAGGAAGAAGGUGCUCACAUUUCUUUUCAGCAGCCUACAACCUGGGGUUCAGACUGCUGUUCCCAUAAGCACUCCAAGUUAGGUAAGACAGAAACUAGUGCCUCAGGCAGUCUGCAAAAAAGCCAGAACAUUGGAUUCUACUCUUCUAUUUUUUUUUUCUCUUGAGAGAGAAGCCAGGAGCUGGCAGUUUUCUCCCAAUCAUGCUGCACCAUGCCAGAGCAGAAGAGGCUAGGGCAUGCAACAUGCCAUGGAUAGGGGCGCAGCAGCCGUUAAACUGGUUUUUAAAAUUCUCACAAAGGCAACUUUUCCAUAUAUUAAGUAAGUUUCUGUAUAGAGAAAUAAUAGCCUGGGGCUUCCUAUUCCACCACCUUCCUGCAUUUUUAAUAAAUGUAAACAUUAAGUAGAAGUAAUACUAACCAUUCAAUCAGUAAAUCUCAUACAUUUAGAAAGAACAUUGUUUACAUUGUUUAUUCAAGUGGAAUAAACAAUGUAAACUUGUAUUAUACUUAAUGCUGAUAACUCAGAGAAAGCAAAGAUUGUUUAUAACAAAACUAAACUAUUCUCAUGUGGCAAAGAUGUACCUAAACUAUGUGAACACAAAAUAUUAAAAUAUUUCAAGUUUCUGUCUGUAUCUCUGUAAACUAUUUUUUUAACACAUUGAAAGAGCUAGGAGUUCAAUUUCUUGUUUCUCUAAGCCAAUUAGAAUAGAGUUCUUUUGAGAAGUUUUACAGUCUAAUUUGGGAAUGCCAUCCAAAGAUAAGAAACUAUUACACACUCACACAAUGAGAAGUAAAGGCCUUUUAGAAUUACAGACAUAUAAACAUACAGAUACACAGAGAAAGCUUAUAACAUCAACUCUAAAAUUUUAGCCACAAGUCAAGCAAAAAUAGAAAUAUAAAACUCAUCAGUCUAGAAAUCCAUUUUCUAGUAGGCAUGAAAUUGGUACCUGAUAUGAGCGCAAAUGAGACAAAAAAGACAAAGAAAAUCCUAAAAGACCA